GAAGAAACAGAGGACUUGUAGGCCCUGGUCAUGGCAGAUGGAGGUAUAGAGAGAUGUCCAUAGUGAAGAUGAUACGUUGAGGGCGAGUGAAAUGCAAGUUUUGGAGGAGAUGGAAGACAUGGGUGGUGUCUCGAACGUAUGUGGAGAAUUCCUGGACUUGGGAGGGGGGUAGGGUUAAAAAAAAAAAAAGGACAGUAUUGAGGUGGGUAGAGAUGUGUUCGGUGGGGGAAGAGCAGGCUGAGACAAUGGGUUAGCCGGGAUGGUCAGGCUUGUUGACCCUGGAAAGCAGAUAGAAUCGGGCGGUGUGGGGUCCCUGAACUAGGAGGUUGGAAGCUGUAGGUGGGUGGGAGAUAUCCUGAGGUGAUGAGAUUGUGUAUGGUCUGGGAGAUGAUGGUUUGGUGAUGGGGGGGUUUGGGGUGAGGUCAUGGCCGAGGGAGCGGUAGGAGGAGGUGUCUUUGAGUUGGCGCCUGGCUUCAGCAGUGUAGAGGUCAGUGCACCAAACUACCACUGCACCUCCCUUACCCGCUGGUUUGAUGGUGAGGUGGAGGUUGGAGCAGAGGGAUUGGAGGGUUGCACAUUAUGAGGGUGAGUGGCUGGAGUGGGGGAGGAGGGUAGACAGGUUGAUAGAGGGCAGGUAAUAGGCCAGCACGGGGUGUCCAGGUAGCUGGAGCGUGUUAAAGGCGGGUGAAGGGGUCCGCGGAGGCGGCAGAACUAUAAUUCUUUUAGUUACUGGAUAAUUAUGAAAUUCCUUCCAUUUUCAGGUCUCUUUGGCAUACCACUAAAAAUCAACUACGAAAGGAAAUGGCUUUAACUUUUUUUGGAAUUUCAGAACAAUUAUAGGAACGUACAGGAACGCAACCAUCAAGUUACAGAAGACCUGACUAUAGUUCAAAAUUGUUGGGAAAAAUUAUAUUAAAAUUCCAGACUUAAUCGUCAGACUGUAAGUACAGGUUUUAAUAGCUGGAAAGAGGAGAAAAGGAAAAAAAGAUUCUCUGAACUGCAUUUGCAAAUGACAGACGACCAGUCAACUUUAAAAGAUGGUAAACAAAAAUCACCUGACAACUAUCUUUAUUUACUUUUUAACAGCUAAAAGGGCAAACGGCCUAUUCACGGAAUCUUAAGAGAUCUCAUAAGAGAUAAAGACUUUGGAAAGGGAAAAGGUUUGCACAUGACAAUCCAAAA